rnacentral:rRNA from 1 species
UGCGUAGGCGGUCGGCUAAGUCUGAUGUGAAAUCUCCGGGCUCAACCCGGAAACUGCAUCGGAUACUAGUUGGCUAGAGGAUUGGAGGGGGGGACUGGAAUUCUCGGUGUAGCAGUGAAAUGCGUAGAUAUCGAGAGGAACACCAGUGGCGAAGGCGAGUCCCUGGACAAUUCCUGACGCUGAGGCACGAAAGCUAGGGGAGCAAACA